AGUAGUAAACCGGUUUGGGAUAGGUACAGCUAGUAAUACGUAAAUUCUAAUUGGGAUUUGGACGGAUUCGAUUGUAUAUAACCGGUUCAGGUUUGGAUACCUUUAAUUUUAUGGGUACCCUGCCUGGUACCAUCCUACCUAGUGUCACCCCUUUUCGAUUUUGGUUCAUACCGGUAUAUUGAUGAUUGUUAUUCAGUUUAUUAAGUAUUAAUUUAUUUGUUGAUAUUCAUUCAUCCUUUUGCAUUUUAUUUAUGGUAUUUCUUUUUUUAUUUUUUUAUUUGGGGGUAUGUUUCUUUAAAUCUAUUUGUUUGUUUUGUUUGCGUUUGACACCAAAUUGUUGAUUUUUUUUCUUCUUCAUUUAUCUUUGUAAUUUCACGUUUAUAUGGGUUUGGAUGUUUGGUUUCUGGAGUUAGGUUUUCAACACAUCUAAGCUGUUAAGUAACUUUGUUUCCCCAUGCUGAGAACGCUGCAUCACAAUUUGAGUAUUUAGAUGUUUGCUGUUGAAGAUGCAAGAGCAGUAAUUUAUAAGGGAUGAGAGUUAAUAUGAUUGGGUGCCUUGUGGUUUUCUUUGAUAUUGCUUUUUCUAUGAAUUUUUUUUUU
rnacentral:misc_RNA from 1 species